rnacentral:lncRNA from 1 species
CUCAAGACCACUUGACCUUUCAAAUGUCACAAGGUCAAGGUCAUAGUAUAAUGUGAAGGUCAAGGUGAAAUUUCAUCAUGACCUGACAUUGACCUCAAAUUGAGGUCUUGAACUACUGAUCAUCUUUGCAGUUUAUAGUAGGUUGAUAUCUGUUACCUUUAAAAAGAUAUACACACAAUACUAUACUUUUAAGAAUCAUCCCGUCGUAACUUUUGAACAGAC